rnacentral:rRNA from 1 species
AGUGAACGCUGGCGGUAGGCCUAACACAUGCAAGUCGAACGGCAGCACAGUAAGAGCUUGCUCUUACGGGUGGCGAGUGGCGGACGGGUGAGGAAUACAUCGGAAUCUACUUUUUCGUGGGGGAUAACGUAGGGAAACUUACGCUAAUACCGCAUACGACCCACGGGUGAAAGCAGGGGAUCUUCGGACCUUGCGCGAUUGAAUGAGCCGAUGUCGGAUUAGCUAGUUGGCGGGGUAAAGGCCCACCAAGGCGACGAUCCGUAGCUGGUCUGAGAGGAUGAUCAGCCACACUGGAGCUGAGACACGGUCCAGACUCCUACGGGAGGCAGCAGUGGGGAAUAUUGGACAAUGGGCGCAAGCCUGAUCCAGCCAUACCGCGUGGGUGAAGAAGGCCUUCGGGUUGUAAAGCCCUUUUGUUGGGAAAGAAAAGCAGCAGGUUAAUACCCCGCUGUUCUGACGGUACCCAAAGAAUAAGCACCGGCUAACUUCGUG